CCGUGCUAGGCGGGGAACUAGCGGUGCCCUGUACCUGCAAUCCGCUCCAGCAGGGCUGAAUCCCCUCCCGAGGCCCGCGCCCGCGGAAGCCGACAGGGUGAUCGACGAUGAGGA
rnacentral:SRP_RNA from 1 species